rnacentral:rRNA from 1 species
CCUACGGGAGGCAGCAGUGAGGAAUAUUGGUCAAUGAGCGAGAGCCUGAACCAGCCAAGUCGCGUGAGGGAGUACUGCCCUAUGGGUUGUAAACCUCUUUUGUCGGGGAGCAAAAGCCGGACGUGUCCGGCUGUGAGAGUACCCGAAGAAAAAGCAUCGGCUAACUCCGUGCCAGCAGCCGCGGUAAUACGGAGGAUGCGAGCGUUAUCCGGAUUUAUUGGGGUUAAAGGGUGCGCAGGCGGAUUUUUAAGUCAGCGGUCAAAUCGUGGGGCUCAACCCCAUCCAGCCGUUGAAACUGGGGAUCUAGAGUGUGCGAGAGGUAUGCGGAAUGCGUGGUGUAGCGGUGAAAUGCAUAGAUAUCACGCAGAACCCCGAUUGCGAAGGCAGCAUACCGGUGCACAACUGACGCUCAGGCACGAAAGCGUGGGUAUCGAACAGGAUUAGAUACCCUUGUAGUC